rnacentral:rRNA from 1 species
GAUGAACGCUGACAGAAUGCUUAACACAUGCAAGUCUACCAAGAAUCACUUCGGUGAGGAAUGGUGGCGGACGGGUGAGUAACACGUAAAUAAUCUGCCCUUUAGACUGGGAUAUCCUUUGGAAACGAAGGUUAAUACCGGAUAUUAUGAGAUGGACGCAUGUUCAACUUAUGAAAGCUAAAUGCACUGGAGGAGGAGUUUGCGUCCCAUUAGCUAGUUGGUGAGGUAAAGGCUCACCAAGGCCACGAUGGGUAGCCGGCCUGAGAGGGUGAACUGCCACGAGGGAACUGAGACACGGUCCUAACUCCUACGGGAGGCAGCAUUGGGGAAUAUUGGACAAUGGACCAAAAGUCUGAUCCAGCAAUUCUGUCUGCACGAUGAAGGUCUUCGGAGUGUAAAGUGCUUUCAGUAGGGAAGAAAAAAAUGACGGUACCUACAGAAGAAGCGACGGCUAAAUAUGUGCCAGCAGCCGCCGUAAGAC